rnacentral:rRNA from 1 species
UACAGAGGUCUCAAGCGUUGUUCGGAUUCAUUGGGCGUAAAGGGUGCGUAGGCGGCGCGGUAAGUCGGGUGUGAAAUCUCGGAGCUUAACUCCGAAAACUGCAUUCGAUACUGCCGUGCUUGAGGACUGGAGAGGAGACUGGAAUUUACGGUGUAGCGGUGAAAUGCGUAGAUAUCGUAAGGAAGACCAGUGGCGAAGGCGGGGUCUCUGGACAGUUCCUGACGCUGAGGCACGAAGGUCAGGGGAGCAAACGGG